UGACAGCCGUGGAUUCCAUAUAGUUUUAUUUGUGUAUUGGUUGAGCCCACAAUCUAAACCUAUGGCUUCUUCGCGGUGCUGGGUACGAGCGUGCCUGCCUUAUAUGUUCGGAAUUCCUAUAGUUCACCGUUAUGGAUUCUCCCCACAAAAUGUAUCGUUUUCUAAUUAAUUAUGCAAGUUAUGUUCCACUCAGAGUAAUUGCUACUUCGUCGUACUCAUCUCUAAUCAACCCACACGAGGGCCCAGAAAUUCUUAAGUUCUGUUCAGUUGUUAUUGACUUAAAUCAUGUGGAAAAUGUGUUCAAACAUGACAGAAGAAGAAGAGGAAUACACCCUCAAAGACAAUAAAUUUCCUGUCGGAGAUAUAAUUACACUCCACCAUGCUCCACUACACACCCAGCUCCGAUGGACAUUACAACCUCAACCUCCAAAACCGGACACCUCGGGCACGUUAAAGAACCUACAACAUGUACACUUUCCCGACGUGAAUGAAUCUGUUAUUCUGUCCGGAUAUGCAGCUUGCACUCUUCAGUUCAAACCUGGGGUGUAACGCCGCCAUUAGGCGGUUUGCUGGGUAGAGAAACAUAAACAAACAACAAGUUUGCCCGGAAUGCCAUUUAUCGGCCAGCAAGAUCGGUGCAGACAAAACAUGUACCGUUAUCCCCCACCUGUCAGAAGGACGCAGUAAAUUCGCAGAUCGAAAAGGUUAAUAUAGAGCUACAUGGCUUUGAGGUCAAAGCAACAACAUAAUAAGGGUAUUGGGAGGGGGUCAGGAAAAACACGGCAAUCCGGGAUAAUGCAAUGGAUACAACAUCUUGCCAUUCAAGAUAGUACCGAGUCACCUCAUGAGCGCAGUCUGUGUCCUCUGUCGUAGAGGAGUAGUCUACCCAAACCCGACAGGGUUCCCGUACAUGGACCACAAGUGGGGCCACACUUGGAGGAGGACCGCGUGGAGAAUUAGAAGGACACAAUUAUGUUUUUUGCAGAAAUUGGCAUUUGUGCAUGAAAAAUUAGUAAACGGCAACUCCUCUGGUAUGUUACCUGUCUGUCCAUUUUCUACCAUCAGUGACGUGUGGAGCCUGCCUCGUAGACUUGUGAACCCAUGCCAACCUUAUAUGUGCUCCUAAAGUUUCUUUUUGUUUUCAAGACUAUGAUAGAAUUGACAAGACAUGUACCUCAGCAAACAAGUCUUUUAUUUCUGUAUUCAAGAGGUGCACAAAAAAGUAUCACUAGUGUGCUAGACUGUUAUCACUUUAUCACCAAUGGGACAACUACAGUUAUCGCUAUCACAUCAUAUAUAACGUUACAUGUACUUUCGAACUAGUUUCACUUCUAGAACUACUGUCAUUGGCUACAUGCACCUCACUAGUGUGACCUCUGCAAAGCUAUCACACGAUGUAUCUUCUCAUUUUGGUACAUGUUCAACAUCUUUGGGGGGGGGGGGGGUCCUUUAGUUUUCUUCCAAAUCAAGCAAACAUUUAUGAGCCCACUGAUAUCAUCCAUAGACCUCGUGUGCCCUUAUCUUCCUUGAGGGACCGGCAUCACUCCCAGCACAGUAGAGGUAUACAAAGUACCGGGGUAUAGUUUGUAGUUCCAGCUUUAAUACCAGGCUAAACAAUAGUAGGUGAAGUGAAUUUGUAACUCAAACUUUUUUAUGAUAAGUCAUCAUCGGUGGUAAACAUGAUGGAGUUACAGUAUCAGAACGUAGUUAUUGUUUUGAAGUUAAAGAUCCAUCAGGUAGGUUUCUUGGUUGUGUCAAAAAUAAACAGUGCCCUGCACAUGGUCGUUUUUUUGUCCUGUUUUGACUUGUCCUGUCCGCCCAGCAACAAUAAAUCCAUACCUGGAGCCAAAUCUGGCACGUGCGAAAACAUCAUUUCUACCAUCGCCUGUUUCAAGCUCGCCUGUUUGUUGAUAUGGAGCAGACCCGAAAACACAUUUCUACCAUCGCCUGUAGUUGCAAGCUCGCCUGUUUGUUGAUCUGGAACAGACCCGAAAACACAUUUCUACCAUCGUCUGUUUUGUACGCCCGGCUGUUUGUUGAUCAGGGACAGACCUCGGGCGUGUGACCUAGAAACCUUUCAAAGGUCAGUGACUCAAUGCUUUCCCCAGGGACCUUAUGGCCAGUUCUUGGAUAAGGCGGAACUGGUUCAAACUGGUUUGAUCCCCCCAGACCUAUGGCUUCUCCAAUCAGGGAGAAGUCUUAAAACAUUUGACCAAUAGGACAAAAUUGGCCACCCUCCUGUCAAUCUUCCGAAACUGGGAGGGUCCGGGUAUAUACUCCGGUCCUUGUCUGUUGACGAGACAGAAAGAGCGGGGCGUUCUAUGUGUUAACAUCGGGCCUGAGGUCAUCUCAGCUGUAACUUUUCUGGAAGCUACGACUGUAGGUUGGAGUCUGUUCCCGCUGCAGAUACAAGGACAUGCAUCACUUCUGACAAGGUAGCAUGGCCACUCGCAGACUUCAGAAGGAAUCACUGCUCAGAGCAUAAAGGUCAACAACUCUGGUAGCAAUCAGAAUUCACUGGACCCCGGUCACGGAAAAGCUGGGGUGUGUGCUGAUAUCACCCAG